UCCCUCUUCAUUUUUCCUGUUCUUCUCUGAAAUUGAAUUAUUUCAUUAUUUGUGGUUUGAGCCUCGUGAUCGAGUCGAAUUGAAUCAAAUCAAAUCCAUCGCUCUCGUAUCUCUUUGGAUUCGAAAUUGCAUUUUCAACUUUUUAUAUACUGAAAUUCGUACCCAAAUUCCACUAUUUCCUCCCUCCUGCAAAUCCCUGCACAAAAAAUUGAGGCCAUUCCGCAAACCCUCCUUUUUUUGUAACUUAUUAUCCCAGACUUCCCAGAGGUACAGUAUUUUAGCACAUGAUUCAACUUUUUUUCAUGGUACAAUCUUUUCGAUGACUUGUAUGUGUUUGGGGUUUUAGGGUUUUUUUUUAUUAUUAUUUUGGGUUUGGAUUGAAUUUUCUUCAAGAUAUUAGUUUAAUUUUUCUGGGUUUUGUUUAGUUAGUUUUCUAUUUUUUACUUUCAACGUGAAUGUUGUAUUCUGUGUCCGUAUGUGUAUUGCGUUGGGAUUUAAAAUUUUGGAUUCCCAUUUUGUAGACAUUUUAAAUAAUUUGCAGUAACUUGAAGGGGUAAUGCUGAGGAAACUUUAGAUGGGGCUAUUGUAUUAAGUUAUAUAUUUGGAAUUAUAUUUCAGUCAUUGCUCUUUAAUGUAUGCUACUCUUUCGUUCUUUCUUUUGAGACCAUGGUAAUGGUUUUUACUCAAUUAUUCUUGCCAAUAUUAUGCACCAAGAGGAGUGGAUAUGAUGCAAAGACUUGGGAUUGAUAGCUAUUUGGAAAAAUAAAUAUAUCCCUUUUUUUUUUUCCCUCCUUCGAGCUAUUUGUGGAACUCCUUUUGCUCGAAAGAUUUCCUUCAUUUUGAUUUGCACCUAAACUUGGCACCAUAUUUGUGAUAUGAAAGUUAACCUCAGAAGUCUGCAGUGCUAAUGAAUACAAUUGCAUGUUUGGUAUGCAAUGCUGGAUGGACUAGACAGAAUAAUAAACAAUAUGUUUGCUUAUUUUUCCUCACUAAUAAUAUUCAAAGCUAGCCUGAACAAACAUGCUAUAAGAGUUUAGAUAUAUCAACACCAAGUAAUUCAGACUGUAGCAUGCUUCACGACUUUUGAUUGUGAUAUGUACAUUUUCUUUGUUUUUGGAAUCGAAUAUCAUAACUUCAAUCUAAUUUGGAGCAUUUGCAACUGGUAUGAAAUUAGGCCAAUCUCUUUUAUAGUAAAAAAAAAAUACAUUUAAAUAAAUUAUCUUUCAACUUUCUGACUCAAAUAGUCAUGUAUCAGGAUCUAGUGCUAUGAUACAUUAUUUUUUUUUCUUCCCAGCAUCUUAAUUCCUUAUUAAUGCUCUGAAACCUGUCUUAUAAAGAUGACAGUAAGCAAAUCGUUCUGUCACAGAUGAUAAUGAAUGUAGACACCAUAUAUAUUCUAAGCAUUUAUUGAAGACCUAUUUUUAUGCAUUGUGGUGAAUAAUAAAAAUAAAAAAUAAAAAAAAUACCCUAAGAAGAAGCAACGCAUGAGAAUUUAUUAUACUUAAAAGAAAAUUGGUCCUUCAAUUGAUAUUAUCAAUAAUUAUUCACAUAAUUAUUGACUUGGGAUGAUCUAAAUUGGUCAUCAAUAUUCAAAUUAGUCUCUAAAUUUUCAAUAAAAUCAUUUAUCUUAUAAGGUUUGUUGGAUUAAUUUGUCAAGAAAAAAGGUUGACGGCCAAUUUGCUACAAUACCCAUAAGUUGAGGACUUCUAAAUUAAUUUGCUACAAAUAAAACUUUCCUCCAAUUGAUGCUAUUUAUGUUAUAAAAAAAAAUUAAAAAAAAAAAAAACUAUAUGCUUUAACAGCAUAGCAGACUCGUUACCACGACAAAACCGGGAUCUUGGGUAUGGCUCAUUCUUGAUUUGGCGGUAACACCUUGCUGGUUCUAUAAAAAAAAAUGUCAAAAACAUGACACAUCGAUAAAAAAACACACAAGAGACGUGAAUGGAUCUGUGUUUCGAGACUUCUUCCCACUGAGAUGAUUAUGAAGUUGUCUCAAAUUGGAAAAUGAAAACAAAAGGAUGGCAAAUGUUAGUUAUAUAGGUUGGGCUGACCGAGGGAAGGAAGGUGGAGCGAGCUAUUGUUAUACAUAAAGUUGUGGUUGAUUUUAAAAUAGAACUCGAUAUUCUUCAAGAUUAUUGAUAUAAUAAUAUAUAAAAUCAUACUCCUUCCGGAUCAAUAACACAUGUUGAAUUAAGGAAUACUCUCUGUGAACUUUGCGUGCUGCUUACAAGGCAUAAGAGAUACAAAAGGGGAUCAAAAGCACAAAAGGCUAGCACCAAGCACAGGCAAGCCAUCCCCCAUCUAGACUGAAUAAAAACUGUUAUUAUGAUACAAGUAGGCAAAUGUUCAAGUGUGACUUUGAAGCCAAUGAAUCUUUGCACAUAAACUAAUGAAUAAAAUGUGAUCCUAUAUUGGAAUCAGUUAUAAAUUAACCGAUAAGUUGUCAUCUCAUUUUUUUUCCUAAAUGACUGAAUUGCCCCCAAAGCUCUCAAGGAAGUCUAUAAAUACUCUCGUAUAAGAGAAAGAAACUAUACAAAUUCAAAUAGCUCUAGUACAAAUAGUCAUUUUCCCUCUUACUCCUAUUUGAGUUUCAAAAGCAAAAAGUUUAAGAGGAAAAAAUCCUGACUAUGUGAGUGAAAUUUAUUAAUCUGAUUUUUAUCGUCAACAACACAUAUUUUAUCGGAAUAUCGAUUAUGAAUUGAUACUUCUUUAAGAGUAAUGAUAUAAUAUUCUUCAAAAAUAUUUUUUUUAUACAGUAAUAAAAUACAUAUCAUUAUUCGAUAUAGUCAAAACAAUAUAAUAAAACGAAUAACAUUUAUCGAAUUUGUUGUUACGUAAAUAAAAUUAAGAGAAUACCCACAAUUUCUUUUAAACGGGAAAGAAUAAUUUAUUUCUAAUUUAAUUGACUAGAAUUUUGUAUUUAUCUUCGAACAUAAAGCUUAAUCACUUUUGCUAACAAUGCUGGUGACAUUUUAUACCGAGAAAGUUAUAAAAUUAAGAGAAAAUAGAGAGCAUAUAAGAGGAUUAGAAUGAGGCGAAACUCCUAUGUAUUUUAUUAAAAAUUAAAGCCUUAUAUUAUAUAAUUGUUAUUCAAAAAUAUAUUUAAUUUUGUAGCAAUAUUUAAUUUUAUUUGUUUGUAACAAAAAUAAAUAAAUAAAAGAGUAAAAUGAGAGCCAGACGGGCCAAUUGGGUUCUAUGGCCUCUGCAGCAAGAGGAAUUGGGCCGGCUCUGCGUGCAUCACGGGUAGCCCUAACUGGCCCAACACUGCAAUCCAAUUCAAUUUAUCGUCACGUUUCCGUAUCUGGAUUACACCCUUCAACACUCCCUCUUCAUUUUUCCUGUUCUUCUCUGAAAUUGAAUUAUUUCAUUAUUUGUGGUUUGAGCCUCGUGAUCGAGUCGAAUUGAAUCAAAUCAAAUCCAUCGCUCUCGUAUCUCUUUGGAUUCGAAAUUGCAUUUUCAACUUUUUAUAUACUGAAAUUCGUACCCCAAAUUCCACUAUUUCCUCCCUCCUGCAAAUCCCUGCACAAAAAAUUGAGGCCAUUCCGCAAACCCUCCUUUUUUUGUAACUUAUUAUCCCAGACUUCCCAG
rnacentral:lncRNA from 1 species